rnacentral:rRNA from 1 species
UACGGAGAGGGCUAGCGUUAUUCGGAAUCAUUGGGCGUAAAGGGCGCGUAGGCGGGUUAGUAAGUUAAAAGUGAAAUCCCAAGGCUCAACCUUGGAACUGCUUUUAAAACUGCUAGUCUAGAGAUUGAAAAGAGGAUAGAGGAAUUCCUAGUGUAGAGGUGAAAUCGUAAAUAUUAGGAGGAACACCAGUGGCGAAGGCGUCUAUCUGGUUCAAUCUGACGCUGAGGCGCGAAGCGUGGGGAGCAAACAGG